UGGUCAAGUUAUUAAGGGUGCAGGGCGGAUGCCUUGGCACUAGGAGCCGAUGAAGGACGUGAUAAGCUGCGAUAAGCUUCGGGGAGUUGCACGUAAACUUUGAUCCGAAGAUUUCCGAAUGAGGAAACUCACUUAGAGUAAUGUCUAAGUAUCAUUAAGUGAAUACAUAGCUUAAUGAGGGGAACUCAGGGAACUGAAACAUCUAAGUACCUGAAGGAAGAGAAAGAAAUUCGAUUCCGUAAGUAGCGGCGAGCGAACGCGGAUUAGCCCAAACCAAUAAAGUUUUCUUUAUUGGGGUUGCGGACAUAUCAUAACGAAGAGGUAUCGUAAUUGAAGAGGUUUGGAAAGACCCACCACAGAAGGUAAUAGUCCUGUAUGUUAAACGAAAAGACUUUAGAUAUGAUCCAGAGUACCACGGGACACGUGAAACCCUGUGGGAAGCAGGAGGGACCACCCUCCAAGGCUAAAUACUACCUAGUGACCGAUAGCGUAUAGUACCGUGAGGGAAAGGUGAAAAGAACCCCGGGAGGGGAGUGAAAUAGAACCUGAAACCCUGCACUUACAAGCUGUGGAAGCACAUUUCUUGUGUGACCGCGUACUUUUUGUAGAACGGGCCAACGAGUUACGUUAAGUAGCAAGGUUAAGCACUUAAGGUGCGGAGCCGUAGCGAAAGCGAGUUUUAACUGAGCGUUCAGUUACUUGACGUAGACCCGAAACCGGGCGACCUACCCAUGAGCAGGAUGAAGCGAAAGUAAAAUUUCGUGGAGGUCCGAACCCACGAGCGUUGAAAAGCUCGGGGAUGACUUGUGGGUAGCGGUGAAAUUCCAAUCGAGCCCGGAGAUAGCUGGUUCUCCCCGAAAUAGCUUUAGGGCUAGCCUCAAGGUGA
rnacentral:rRNA from 1 species